AUCCAGUCUGUUCGGAUGGUAUCGAUUCCUACAAACCGGGACAAAUAUUUACCGAUAGAGCAGGGCGGAAAUGUAAAUGCGGAUAUGAUACAAAAAUAACUUGCCCAGAAAUAAACAGAGGAUGCGUGUACCUAGGAAAACAAUAUAGAAAUGGAAUGAUAUUUCCUGCUGAAGACGGGUGUAAUACAUGUCGGUGUAAAUUAACCGGACAGAUACUGUGCUCAAGCAGGCAGUGCUUUCAGAAAGCUACGUGUCAGCAUUUAGGCGUUGUAUACAGAGCGGGUGAUACCUUUAAGAAAGUGGAUAGCUGUAACUCAUGCACAUGUCUAGUAACGGGAAAAGUCAAGUGCACAGAAAACAAGUGCU